rnacentral:rRNA from 1 species
AUUGAACGCUGGCGGCAGGCCUAACACAUGCGAGUCGAGCGGAUGAAGGGAGCUUGCUCCUGGAUUCAGCGGCGGACGGGUGAGUAAUGCCUAGGAAUCUGCCUGGUAGUGGGGGAUAACGUCCGGAAACGGGCGCUAAUACCGCAUACGUCCUGAGGGAGAAAGUGGGGGAUCUUCGGACCUCACGCUAUCAGAUGAGCCUAGGUCGGAUUAGCUAGUUGGUGGGGUAAAGGCCUACCAAGGCGACGAUCCGUAACUGGUCUGAGAGGAUGAUCAGUCACACUGGAACUGAGACACGGUACAGACUCCUACGGGAGGCAGCAGUGGGGAAUAUUGGACAAUGGGCGAAAGCCUGAUCCAGCCAUGCCGCGUGUGUGAAGAAGGUCUUCGGAUUGUAAAGCACUUUAAGUUGGGAGGAAGGGCAGUAAGUUAAUACCUUGCUGUUUUGACGUUACCAACAGAAUAAGCACCGGCUAACUUCGUG